rnacentral:rRNA from 1 species
UACAGAGGUCCCGAGCGUUGUUCGGAUUCACUGGGCGUAAAGGGUGCGUAGGUGGUGAGGUAAGUCGGAUGUGAAAUCUCCAGGCUCAACCCGGAAAUGGCAUUGGAAACUACCUUGCUGGAGGAUUUGAGGGGGGAUUGGAAUACUUGGUGUAGCAGUGAAAUGCGUAGAUAUCAAGUGGAACACCAGUGGCGAAGGCGAAUCCCUGGAAAAUACCUGACACUGAGGCACGAAAGCUAGGGGAGCAAACAGG